GGAGGAAAGUAGGGGAUCGAAAGACCUUAUGCUUUUGGAGCGGCCGAUGUCUGAUUAGCUAGUUGGUAAGGUAAUGGCUUACCAAGGCAACGAUCAGUAGUUGGUCUGAGAGGACGGCCAGCCACACUGGGACUGAGACACGGCCCAGACUCCUACGGGAGGCAGCAGUGGGGAAUUUUGGACAAUGGGCGCAAGCCUGAUCCAGCAAUGCCGCGUGAGUGAAGAAGGCCUUCGGGUUGUAAAGCUCUUUCAGUUGAGAAGAAAAAGUCGUGACUAAUAAUCAUGAUUCAUGACGGUAUCAACAGAAGAAGCACCGGCUAACUACGUGCCAGCAGCCGCGGUAAUACGUAGGGUGCAAGCGUUAAUCGGAAUUACUGGGCGUAAAGGGUGCGCAGGCGGUUCUGUAAGUCAGAUGUGAAAUCCCCGGGCCUUUAAACCCCCUGG
rnacentral:rRNA from 1 species